rnacentral:rRNA from 1 species
GAUGAACGCUGGCGGCGUGCUUAACACAUGCAAGUCGAACGAUGAAGCCCAGCUUGCUGGGUGGAUUAGUGGCGAACGGGUGAGUAACACGUGAGUAACCUGCCCUUGACUCUAGGAUAAGCCCGGGAAACUGGGUCUAAUACUGGAUAGGAACGUCUACCGCAUGGUGGAUGUUGGAAAGAAUUUCGGUCAUGGAUGGACUCGCGGCCUAUCAGCUUGUUGGUGAGGUAAUGGCUCACCAAGGCGACGACGGGUAGCCGGCCUGAGAGGGUGACCGGCCACACUGGGACUGAGACACGGCCCAGACUCCUACGGGAGGCAGCAGUGGGGAAUAUUGCACAAUGGGCGAAAGCCUGAUGCAGCGACGCCGCGUGAGGGAUGACGGCCUUCGGGUUGUAAACCUCUUUCAGUAGGGAAGAAGCGAAAGUGACGGUACCUGCAGAAGAAGCACCGGCUAACUACGUG